rnacentral:lncRNA from 1 species
UCCAAUCCGCUGGUAGCAUGAAAAGGAAAUUAGAUGCCAGCAGGUCUGCAAAACAGCACACACCAAAACCCGCCUUAGUGCUGCUGGCAAGGCAGGAAGUCAAGGGCUCAUUUAACUUCAUCCGCUCUUCUUGCUCUGUCAUAGGCUUUCCUCCCACCCCAGGCCUACGCCAGGGUCAAGAGCAGUUGGGCCCCAGAUCUGGUCCAGUCCAAACACCAGGGGGAGAGUCAUCUCCGUCACACCAGCCUGUCUUCUGCACUGACCCCCAGCCUCGCCUCAGCUAGCAUCUGGAUCACACCGCGCCUCCGCUCCUUGCAUUCCUGUCCUGGGCUCUACCAAUCGCAAAGGAGCAUCCCAGUGCAUAGAGAAAAUACCUGCAGCGUCCAGCUUUGAAGAGAUGCAGCCCGCAGCCUGGCCCCAAAGGGAUCCCUGUUCAUCGCUGGCUCUCACUGGGUCCAUCACACUGAGGAUUCCAUUUCUCCCGCCGAGAGAGUACAGCGCUCUGCUUGUAGGAUAGCCACGCAGCAGUCCGGUGGGAGCCUCCGCCCUCCUCCCCGUGCGCCCACUCCCACUGCGCACACUGAACUGCAUCAGCAUCCGCUGGCGUUGGGAGCUCGCAAACACUGCCCUGGAGAGGCCAGGCCAGGCGCCGUCCCCUCCUCGUAGGGAUAUUCCUGGAUUUCGGCUCUCCCACUGGGAGGUGUAGGAGGAACCUCCGAGGCCCCGGCAGAGGAUGUCUUACAACAGCCAGUCGGCAGUGCGCAGUGUCUCUCUCCGCACAUCGCCAGCUGGGUGCAACGGUGCACACGUGGUGCCAUCUGGAGCAGCGGGCGAGGCGCUCCGAACGGCACGAGGGACAGGAUGCAAAGGUUACAUGGUAUCAAUUAAAUCUACCCUGCAGCCCAACAUGGUAUCUGCAAUCACCCGGCACGCGGUGACUCCUUCGUUACCAAGGCCUGGCCAAGGUGGUGUCAGCUACGUGACACACUGCGAGCAAACUGGUGUGACUUGGGGAGGCACAGAGGGCAGCAGAGUCAGUCCCUACCAGGGGCUCAGGCCCAGCUGUAUUUGGGGGAGGGGGGGAAUAGGGUGCAGGAACCGAAGGCCUGAGCUGCCUCCUGGCCAGUCCAAACAGAGGGGCAUUUGUAGGAAAGGCUGCAGCUCCAGGGGACCAGAGUCUAGCUGCACUGGAGAUUCCUGGGCUGAGCACAGGGGUUCUGCUCGUUUCCUGGCACAAGGACAGAUGAUCAGCACGAAGGGUGGAAAGUCCAAACUGAGCAAAACAAAAGUCUUUUCGCCCCAUGUUUAA